ACAUGCAGUCGAACGAUGAAGCCCAGCUUGCUGGGUGGAUUAGUGGCGAACGGGUGAGUAACACGUGGGUGAUCUGCCCUGCACUUCGGGAUAAGCCUGGGAAACUGGGUCUAAUACCGGAUAGGACCUCGGGAUGCAUGUUCCGGGGUGGAAAGGUUUUCCGGUGCAGGAUGGGCCCGCGGCCUAUCAGCUUGUUGGUGGGGUAACGGCCCACCAAGGCGACGACGGGUAGCCGGCCUGAGAGGGCGACCGGCCACACUGGGACUGAGACACGGCCCAGACUCCUACGGGAGGCAGCAGUGGGGAAUAUUGCACAAUGGGCGCAAGCCUGAUGCAGCGACGCCGCGUGAGGGAUGACGGCCUUCGGGUUGUAAACCUCUUUCAGUACCGACGAAGCGCAAGUGACGGUAGGUACAGAAGAAGCACCGGCCAACUACGUGCCAGCAGCCGCGGUAAUACGUAGGGUGCGAGCGUUGUCCGGAAUUACUGGGCGUAAAGAGCUCGUAGGCGGUUUGUCGCGUCGUCUGUGAAAACCCGCAGCUCAACUGCGGGCUUGCAGGCGAUACGGGCAGACUUGAGUACUGCAGGGGAGACUGGAAUUCCUGGUGUAGCGGUGAAAUGCGCAGAUAUCAGGAGGAACACCGGUGGCGAAGGCGGGUCUCUGGG
rnacentral:rRNA from 1 species